GAUGAACGCUGGCGGCGUGCCUAAUACAUGCAAGUCGAGCGAACAGACGAGGAGCUUGCUCCUCUGACGUUAGCGGCGGACGGGUGAGUAACACGUGGAUAACCUACCUAUAAGACUGGGAUAACUUCGGGAAACCGGAGCUAAUACCGGAUAAUAUAUUGAACCGCAUGGUUCAAUAGUGAAAGACGGUUUUGCUGUCACUUAUAGAUGGAUCCGCGCCGCAUUAGCUAGUUGGUAAGGUAACGGCUUACCAAGGCAACGAUGCGUAGCCGACCUGAGAGGGUGAUCGGCCACACUGGAACUGAGACACGGUCCAGACUCCUACGGGAGGCAGCAGUAGGGAAUCUUCCGCAAUGGGCGAAAGCCUGACGGAGCAACGCCGCGUGAAUGAUGAAGGUCUUCGGAUCGUAAAACUCUGUUAUUAGGGAAGAACAAAUGUGUAAGUAGCUAUGCACGUCUUGACGGUACCUAAUCAGAAAGCCACGGCUAACUACGUG
rnacentral:rRNA from 1 species